GCUCUGUUCGUCUACGGUAGGUUAGGACAUUGCCCUUUCAAGGCAAUAAAGCGGGUUCAACCCCCGCACAGAGCACCA
rnacentral:tRNA from 1 species